GAGCUAAUUUCAUUACCAGGAGGCAUGCUGGUUUGUGCUGCAAUGUAAAGCAGACUGCUGGAGUCUAGCUCUCUCUGCUUUGCUUAAAGUGCUUCUGCUUACAACAUCCCACUGGGAUCUCCAGAGGCCACUUCACAGAAAGUGCAAGCAAGCAAAGGCAGGAAUGGACUGCCAAUGGGAAUCUGGACUGAGACGGCAAGAGAGCAACUACUCCUUACAUAUCACACUAGAAAUGCCUUUGUCAACAUGAAUCAACCCUGCUGACAGCUUUGGGAGGAGGGGAAAGGGGCAGCACAUUUCAUC